GACGGAAGGUGCAAGCGUUGCUCGGAAUCACUGGGCGUAAAGGGUGCGUAGGCGGCCGCGCAAGUCUGGCGUGAAAGCCCCGGGCUCAGCCCGGGAAGGGCGCUCGAAACGGCGCGGCUCGAGUGCCGGAGGGGAGAGUGGAAUUCCUGGUGUAGCGGUGAAAUGCGUAGAGAUGUGGAGGAACACCGAUGGCGAAGGCAGCCUCCUGGGCCAGCACUGACGCUCAUGCACGAAAGCGUGGGGAGCAAACAGG
rnacentral:rRNA from 1 species